CCUACGGGUGGCAGCAGUGAGGAAUAUUGGUCAAUGGACGCAAGCCUGAACCAGCAAUGCCGCGUGAAGGAAGACGGCUCUAGGGGUUGUAACCUUCUUUUGUACGGGCGUAAACUCAGACACGCGUGUCUUUCUGAAUGUAUCUUACGAAUAAGGAUCGGCUAACUCCUUGCCAGCAGCCGCGGUAAUACGGAGGAUUCGAGCGUUAUCCGGAGUGAUUGGGUUUAAAGGGAGCGUAGGCGGGCUGGUAAGUCAGUUGUGAAAUCUCGCGGCUCAACUGCGGAAUUGCAUUUGAUACUGGUCGGCUUGAGUACAGUAGAGGUAGGCGGAAUGCGUGGUGUAGCGGUGAAAUGCUUAGAUAUCACGAAGAACACCGAUUGCGAAGGCAGCUUACUAAACUACCUCUGACGUUGAGGCACGAAAGCGUGGGGAGCAAACAGGAUUAGAUACCCUGGUAGUC
rnacentral:rRNA from 1 species